rnacentral:rRNA from 1 species
CCUACGGGAGGCAGCAGUGGGGAAUUUUGGACAAUGGGGGCAACCCUGAUCCAGCAAUGCCGCGUGAGUGAAGAAGGCCUUCGGGUUGUAAAGCUCUUUUGUCAGGGAAGAAACGGUGUGAGCUAAUAUCUCAUGCUAAUGACGGUACCUGAAGAAUAAGCACCGGCUAAUUACGUGCCAGCAGCCGCGGUAAUACGUAGGGUGCAAGCGUUAAUCGGAAUUACUGGGCGUAAAGCGUGCGCAGGCGGUUUUGUAAGACUGUCGUGAAAUCCCCGGGCUCAACCUGGGAAUGGCGAUGGUGACUGCAAGGCUAGAGUUUGGCAGAGGGGGGUAGAAUUCCACGUGUAGCAGUGAAAUGCGUAGAUAUGUGGAGGAACACCGAUGGCGAAGGCAGCCCCCUGGGUCAAAACUGACGCUCAUGCACGAAAGCGUGGGGAGCAAACAGGAUUAGAUACCCUGGUAGUCCACGCCCUAAACGAUGUCUACUAGUUGUCGGGUUUUAAUUCACUUGGUGACGCAGGUA